AAGGACUCUGAGUCAGAAUGAUUGGCUAAGGACAACCCGGAAACUAAUCCCAUCACCAUAAAACCCGAGACUGCAAGCCACUUAGCACAGCAGUUCUCCUGGAUUCCCUUACCCUACUGCUUUCUGCCUGGACGCCCUUUCGCAAUAAAAUCUCUUGCUUUGUCAGCACAUGUGUCUCCUCGGACAAUUCAUUUCCGAGUGUUAGACAAGAGCCCAAUUUCAGGCCAUGGAAGGGGUCCCCCUUCCUGCAACAAAUAGCGACUCUGGUGGGAUUCUUCUUUGUUGAGACUGACAUCUUGACCACUUGAGGUACUCAGGGGCCAGCUUGCCCGCCGAUGGACCAGACCCAGCGGCCGCAACUGAGACCCUUUUGUCCCUGGUCUCCUCCUGACACAGACAACUGGCCAGAGUGCCCCGACCGACCUUGCUAGAUGUUUCCAUAAAGGAGAGAAAAGGAUCCUACAAGAGAAAAGAAACUGAGACCUUUUGAAAAGACUCCAAAUGGUGAAGGAUCUGAUGAAGAAAGUCAAAGACUAUGAAGAUUUAAGUGAAGUGUAGCAAUAAAUGAUGCUUUUUUAGCUCAA